UAUGGCCACAUCACGUUGAAACACAGGUUGUCCUGUACGAUCACCGAAGUUAAGCAACGUCGUGCCUGGUCAGUACCUAGAUGGAUGACCGUUUGGGAAUAGCAAGUGCUGUAUG